ACGGGAGGCAGCAGUGAGGAAUAUUGGUCAAUGGAGGCAACUCUGAACCAGCCAUCUCGCGUGAAGGAAUACGGCCCUACGGGUCUUAAACUUCUUUUAUAGGGGGAUAAAGUGAGGCAUGUAUGCCUUUUUGUAGGUACCCUAUGAAUAAGCAUCGGCUAACUCCGUGCCAGCAGCCGCGGUAAUACGGAGGAUGCGAGCGUUAUCCGGAUUUAUUGGGUUUAAAGGGUGCGCAGGCGGCACGUUAAGUCAGCGGUGAAAUGUCGGGGCUCAACCCGGGCACUGCCGUUGAAACUGGCGAGCUUGAGUACGGAUGAAGUCGGCGGAAUGUGAUGUGUAGCGGUGAAAUGCUUAGAUAUUACUCAGAACACCGAUUGCGAAGGCAUCUCACGAAUCCGUCAUUGACGCUGAGGCACGAAAGCGUGGGGAUCAAACAGGAUUAGAUACCCUGGUA
rnacentral:rRNA from 1 species